rnacentral:rRNA from 1 species
GACGAACGCUGGCGGCGUGCUUAACACAUGCAAGUCGAACGGUGAAGCCCUUCGGGGUGGAUCAGUGGCGAACGGGUGAGUAACACGUGGGCAAUCUGCCCUGCACUCUGGGACAAGCCCUGGAAACGGGGUCUAAUACCGGAUACGACUCGGGAGCGCAUGCUUCCGGGUGGAAAGCUCCGGCGGUGCAGGAUGAGCCCGCGGCCUAUCAGCUUGUUGGUGGGGUGAUGGCCUACCAAGGCGACGACGGGUAGCCGGCCUGAGAGGGCGACCGGCCACACUGGGACUGAGACACGGCCCAGACUCCUACGGGAGGCAGCAGUGGGGAAUAUUGCACAAUGGGCGCAAGCCUGAUGCAGCGACGCCGCGUGAGGGAUGACGGCCUUCGGGUUGUAAACCUCUUUCAGCAGGGAAGAAGCGUGAGUGACGGUACCUGCAGAAGAAGCACCGGCUAACUACGUGC